CACAGACAGAUAGAAGGAGGGAAGCGCCCAGGCUACUGACAGACCACAGAAAGAACAGAGCAUCAGGCCAAGCGGAGGCCUGAAGCAAAGGAGGGAGAGCAACGGGGGACAGAGACAGGAAAGUCUGUGGGUUACAGGGGGGCCUAGCAAUAAUGGGAACAAAGCAGCAUGGCCCCAGGCUGUCCUUGGCCUUGAUGCUUCUGAGCCUCAGAGCUGGGUGUGCCCAAGAAGGGUCGGAGCCUGUCCUGCUGGAGGGGGAGUGCCUGGUGGUCUGUGAGCCAGGUCGACCUGCUGCAGGGGGUCCUGGGGGAGCAGCCCUGGGAGAGGCACCACCAGGACGAGUGGCCUUUGCUGCAGUCCGAAGCCACCACCAUGAACCGGCAGGGGAAACCGGCAAUGGAACCAGUGGGGCCAUCUACUUCGACCAGGUCCUGGUGAAUGAGGGUGGUGGCUUUGAUCGGACCUCAGGCUGCUUCGUGGCUCCUGUCCGUGGAGUCUACAGCUUCCGAUUCCAUGUGGUAAAGGUGUACAAUCGCCAAACUGUCCAGGUGAGUCUGAUGCUGAACACGUGGCCAGUCAUUUCAGCCUUUGCAAACGACCCUGAUGUGACCCGAGAGGCAGCCACAAGCUCUGUGCUGCUUCCCCUGGACCCUGGGGACCGGGUGUCCCUGCGCCUUCGUCGGGGGAAUCUUCUGGGUGGCUGGAAGUAUUCAAGCUUCUCCGGCUUCCUCAUCUUCCCACUCUGAAGACCCAUGCCUUUAAAAGACAGAUAGCUAGCAUCUGACCCUUCUGCCCUCCCCUGCCCCAGAAACAAGUAUGGAGCAAGAGAAAGGCCCCUCCUUGCAUGUGACCCUGUGGGAAACACCCAAGGCUAAGAGUAGAAGAGAGCAGUGCUAUGGAAUCUCCUCACCACUACUGCUCAAGUUGCCCUUCCAGCCUCCUGCCUGCAGCUCGGGCUGAAAGCAGGAUUUGGCACAAGGAAGGCUAUCACUGCUUCAUUCUCCACUCCUCUGCUCUCCACCCCAGCUUCCUGCUCAGUGCUAUUUGGUGACAGGUGGCACAGUCUUACAGAGCAUGGCUAUUCUCUGAUCAAGGUUCACAGAGUUGAAGUAAGGUGGAAGAAGAGGGAAGAAACCACUUUCAAACUCAUUUAGAAUUCUGCUCCUCAGAGCUGUGGCACUGAUAUCCCCAGACCCCUUUGUUUUCCAGCCAAAAGCUGCAGUCCCGGCCCCUCCCUUUGCCUCUCUCCAGCCUAUGCCUGCCUGCCACAUCUUUCUGACCUCCACGGGAAAAGUUCAGGAAUCUGGACCCACCCAGAAUGUGCAGAACACUUUCUAUUUUAAGGUCCUCACCUGCAGUGUGUAUGCAAAGCCCCAUUCGGUGUAACAGCACAUGGAGACAUCUUGGUGAUUAGGGUAGGGGCUCUGGGAGAUCUGCAUACCACAGACUUUGAAUCUUGGCGCAAUUCACCCAUCACGCGGAGAGAUGUGAGUCUGAGACAACCAAGAUAAAGAUCAGCGCCAACACAGGUUUUGUCUUGUUUUGUCUUAUUUUUCAGGCUAUUUUUGUUUUAUUCGGAUGGGUGUUUUGUCUGUGCACCACAUGCAUACAGUUCCCUCAGAGGCCAGAAAAGGGUGUCAGAGCCCUUGAGACUGGAGCUAUGAGCCACCAUGCGGGUGCCGGGAAUGUCAGCUGGAUCCUGUGCAAAAGCAGCCAGCGCUCUUAACCACUGAGCCAUCCCUCCAGCUCCCCAACACUCACACACACACACACACACACACACACACACACACACACAUGCACACACAUACACACACAUGCACACACACAGGUUUAAUCAUCUUAGAAGAAAAAUAAUUUCCUACCUAGCCAAGAAUUCAUUGGUUGCUAGUCCAAGACUUCCUUCCCAUGGAGAGAAUGUUCCCUCUUUUCUUAUGACCCAGAAACAAAUAACUGAUCUUUAGGCCGCACAGUUGUGUAUCCUAAUUUUUUUUUCAUUUUUGAAUUUGAAAACCAAAUUCAAAAUUUGGUCUGAGUGAGAGAGCAUCCAUUUCGUAAUGUACAAACUCACUUUUCCAACGGUGGAGUGGAGGUUUAAGACUGCGCAGCCCAGUCUAGUAUGGUGGCAUACGUGUAAAGUCGGCACUUGAAAUAGGAAGAUCCGGAGUUGAGAGCUGCCUGGGCUGCACGGACCGUUACACAUGCACACAGACAAAACUUGUAGAAUGUGUGCGGUGAUGGGUUUGCUUUAUCAAAAUGUUCAAAGCUUUUAAAGGAGCAGACCUAUCAGACUUGUGACUCCAUUAAAAUAUUCAGGAGGAUUUAAUUGAAUUUGUAACAAUGUUUAAGUGAUUUGACUUAUAAAAUGUAUAGAAUCCUA